rnacentral:rRNA from 1 species
CACUCUGGGAUAAGCGCUGGAAACGGCGUCUAAUACUGGAUACGACCAACCCUUGCAUGGGGUGUUGGUGGAAAGAUUUAUCGGUGGUGGAUGGACUCGCGGCCUAUCAGCUUGUUGGUGGGGUAAUGGCCUACCAAGGCGACGACGGGUAGCCGGCCUGAGAGGGUGACCGGCCACACUGGGACUGAGACACGGCCCAGACUCCUACGGGAGGCAGCAGUGGGGAAUCUUCCGCAAUGGACGAAAGUCUGACGGAGCAACGCCGCGUGAGUGAUGACGGCCUUCGGGUUGUAAAGCUCUGUUAAUCGGGACGAAUGGUUCUUGUGCAAAUAGUGCGAGGAUUUGACGGUACCGGAAUAGAAAGCCACGGCUAACUACGUGCCAGCAGCCGCGGUAAUACGUAGGUGGCAAGCGUUGUCCGGAAUUAUUGGGCGUAAAGCGCGCGCAGGCGGAUUGGUCAGUCUGUCUUAAAAGUUCGGGGCUUAACCCCGUGAUGGGAUGGAAACUGCCAAUCUAGAGUAUCGGAGAGGAAAGUGGAAUUCCUAGUGUAGCGGUGAAAUGCGUAGAUAUUAGGAAGAACACC